GUCUACGACCAUACCAUGCUGAACAUUCCGAUUAUCGUCCGAUCACCGAAGUCAAGAAACAUAGGGCCUGGUCAGUAAUUGGAUGGGAGACCGCCUUUGAAUACCGGGUGUUGUAGGCA
rnacentral:rRNA from 1 species